UUAGGAGUGAGCCUGCUCGCGAUAGCGUUGGGUCAGUCAGAGAAUCAUGUUUUGACCCACCGCAAUCGCGAGCAGGCUCACUCCUAC
rnacentral:misc_RNA from 1 species